CCCGUUACAUUGCAUGAACACGUCAAGUUUCGAGUGCUUUAUUGCAGCGAUUACCCUCACGGAUCCAACUCUAAGGGGGGAUUUCUAAAAUCGCAAAUACAACUGAUUAUUUGGAAAUAGACAGACGGAACUCUCCAAGAUCUGUGACUGUGAUAUAAAGUAUAGGACUGAGAGGCAGUAGUGUAAAACUUAGCUAGGAAUCAUCUACGAAACUGUUUAGGAGGGAGACCAUAAAGUAGCCCCUCUGUUUGAAUCUUACGGAGAAUGGUGUCAUUGUGAGCCGGUGGUGUAGGCGUGGUAUCUUGUCAAGUGGCUGCAGAGUUACAGCAGGUCCGUGGUAUGCGGAGAGAGUCCUUUGGCGACAGAACAUACUGGGGAGUGUCAUGAUCUUAUUCUGACUCUGGGUUCAUAGUAACAAGAAGGUGAAUGAUAUAGCCCGUGGCAGGUGACCGGACACCAACCUAAGCUAAGGUCAGGUUGCCUUGACAACCGUGUUUUCUCAGGUCACUACCAAGACCUGAAAGGCGAUCCUUCAACAAUCUCAAGGAAUUCCCUUCUAUCAGGGUUAGUCUUGGAGGCACAGACCCUAUUCAGUUUGCCGAGUUACAAUGGGUGCAUCCAACAACAAGUUUUGUUCGGCGGACCGUCUCCUUCCUCGGUGUGAGCCAGGUGAUCUGAUCGAGUUCCUCCAUCCGUCCUCGACAUUCAACCACUGGGCCGUGUACGUGGGCGACGGCUAUAUCAUCCACGUUCGACAUCCAUGGGUGAAGAAAGAAGCUCUAACGCAAGCUGCGAGCGGGAGACUCGUCCGUCUGAACAAUGAUAAACAUAAGAUUCUCAAAUACAAACCAUUACGAGCGGAGAAGAUCAUCAAUACAGCCUAUGACCAAGUUGGUUUGGACUGGUAUAACGUUCAGUUUUAUGGCUGUGAAAUGUUCUGCAUUCGGUGUCGAUAUGGAAUUAAAGUUAAUGUUGCUGACCUCUACAGAGA